rnacentral:lncRNA from 1 species
AUCUUGAUCUCUUAAAUGCACUUAACCUAGUGAAACAAUAAAAUUACAUUAUUCCUAUAUUAGGAUCCUCUAUAAUCCAAUUCUUGCAAUAAACAGAAUCACUCGUUUAACAUACUUGACUUCUAUUAAGAGCCCUUUUUGAUUGAUAAAGAAAUAAGACAUUUACACUAAGAAUGACAGAGAAUAGCUUGGAUAAAGGAGGAGGGAUCCAAUGGAUUGACAACCAACAUAAAGUUAAUUGAUUUAUGAUGAACCCACACAAAAUGGUAUUACAUUAACAAUUGACACAUAACGAGAUUGAACUAGGAAUGCAAACAAGUACAAGCCAUAACAAUAUGAGAUACAUACAGGU